CAGGAAAUAAAACUGUUCCUGAUAAACAAUGGGAAUGUGUCUCAGGAUCAGGUCGAGGAUAAUGACCAGGAGAUCCGCCGCUGCCAUGGCCCCCAGGUAUCUGUGUUAGCUGUCUGGAUACAGGAUUGGCUGGCCAGCAGAAGACAGCGAGUGGUAGUGGAAGGAAAAUAUUCUGCCUGGAAGUCAGUGGGCCAUAUAAACAUAUCUUCAAAUUGACCGAGACCAUUUUCUGCUCAGGGUAUGGCUCUGUGUAUGACAGCAGCAAUGAUACACCGACAUGGAACAGGGAAUGUGAUGGAGACAUAGUUUGGAUAAUGUACAAGGAGACCUCACAUGGUCCAGUUUGGGAGAGGAUGACAUUAUUGUGUGAUUUAACUCAGAGAGGGAGAAAGUGUCAUCUGUCUGAGAAGAAACGGCCUAUUGCACUCUCUCUCCUUCAUUAUUCCUCAUCACAGUAACGUGUGCGAGCUAAAAUAAAACUCUACUGUCAUCAU